rnacentral:rRNA from 1 species
GACGAACGCUGGCGGCGUGCUUAACACAUGCAAGUCGAACGGAAAGGCCCUGCUUUUGUGGGGUGCUCGAGUGGCGAACGGGUGAGUAACACGUGAGUAUCCUGCCCUGGACUUUGGGAUAACUUCAGGAAACUGGGGCUAAUACCGGAUAGGAGCUGCUGCUGCAUGGUGGGGGUUGGAAAGUUUCGGCGGUAGGGGAUAGACGCGGGGCUUAUCAGCUUGUUGGUGGGGUAGUGGCUUACGAAGGCUUUGACGGGUAGCCGGCCUGAGAGGGUGAACGGGCACAAUGGGACUGAGAGACGGCCCAGACUCCUACGGGAGGCAGCAGUGGGGAAUAUUGCACAAUGGGGGGAAGCCUGAUGCAGCAACGCCGCGUGCGGGAUGACGGCCUUCGGGGUGUAAACCGCUUUCGCCUGUGACGAAGCGGGAGUGACGGUAAUGGGUAAAGAAGCACCGGCUAACUACGUG